rnacentral:rRNA from 1 species
AGUGAACGCUGGCGGCAGGCCUAACACAUGCAAGUCGAGCGGCAGCGCGGGGGCAACCCUGGCGGCGAGCGGCGGACGGGUGAGGAAUUCGUCGGAAUCUGCCUGUUUGUGGGGGAUAACGUAGGGAAACUUACGCUAAUACCGCAUACGUCCUACGGGAGAAAGUGGGGGACCGCAAGGCCUCACGCAGAAAGAUGAGCCGACGACCGAUUAGCUAGUUGGUGGGGUAAAGGCCCACCAAGGCGACGAUCGGUAGCUGGUCUGAGAGGAUGAUCAGCCACACUGGGACUGAGACACGGCCCAGACUCCUACGGGAGGCAGCAGUGGGGAAUAUUGGACAAUGGGCGCAAGCCUGAUCCAGCCAUGCCGCGUGUGUGAAGAAGGCCUUCGGGUUGUAAAGCACUUUUGUCCGGAAAGAAAUCCCUGGAGCUAAUACCUUCGGGGGAUGACGGUACCGGAAGAAUAAGCACCGGCUAACUUCGUG